rnacentral:rRNA from 1 species
UACAGAGGUGGCAAGCGUUGUUCGGAAUUACUGGGCGUAAAGGGCGCGUAGGCGGCCAUCUAAGUCAGACGUGAAAUCCCCCGGCUUAACCUGGGAACUGCGUCUGAUACUGGACGGCUGGAGUUUGGGAGAGGGAUGUAGAAUUCCAGGUGUAGCGGUGAAAUGCGUAGAUAUCUGUAGGAAUACCGGUGGCGAAGGCGGCAUCCUGGACCAAUACUGACGCUGAGGCGCGAAAGCUAGGGGAGCAAACGGG